rnacentral:lncRNA from 1 species
GAGAAUAAGGAAACAAGUCACACUCUCUUCAACACAUGUGGACGCACAACGCAAUUUCAGAUCGCAUAAUGCAUGUAUGGCCAAAUUGCAUUUAGACCAAUUUUAUUAUUUUGGUAUUUUAGUAUUUUGUGGGAUUUAUUUUAAAUUAAUUUGGCCUAUAUUAGAAGCCAAAUUCGUGCAGCCCAUUUAGAAAGGAGAUUUCUCCAAGAUAAUUUAGGAAAAUGAUCUUUAAU